rnacentral:rRNA from 1 species
GAUGAACGCUGGCGGCGUGCUUAACACAUGCAAGUCGAACGAAGCACUUUAUUUGAUUUCCUUCGGGACUGAUUAUUUUGUGACUGAGUGGCGGACGGGUGAGUAACGCGUGGGUAACCUGCCUUGUACAGGGGGAUAACAGUUGGAAACGGCUGCUAAUACCGCAUAAGCGCACGGCAUCGCAUGAUGCAGUGUGAAAAACUCCGGUGGUAUAAGAUGGACCCGCGUUGGAUUAGCUAGUUGGUGAGGUAACGGCCCACCAAGGCGACGAUCCAUAGCCGACCUGAGAGGGUGACGGGCCACAUUGGGACUGAGACACGGCCCAAACUCCUACGGGAGGCAGCAGUGGGGAAUAUUGCACAAUGGGCGAAAGCCUGAUGCAGCGACGCCGCGUGAGCGAAGAAGUAUUUCGGUAUGUAAAGCUCUAUCAGCAGGGAAGAUAAUGACGGUACCUGACUAAGAAGCACCGGCUAAAUACGUG